UGUUGCACCAGAGCCCGCUAUGUCCAC
rnacentral:piRNA from 1 species